UAUUCUUUUGUCAAAUUUGGACAGUAGAACCAUGUCAUGGCAGGAACACAAUUGAGAACUUUAUAUCAUUGAAGGAUUUGAUGGAAUUUUCAAUGAAGCAAAAGGUACAGAAUGCAAACUUCUCAACUUCUGAGUUGCUGUUGGGGCUUGUAGCUAGGAUGCUUGUAGCUUGGAUGCUGCGGCUGGGGCUUGUAGCUGGGCUGCUGCUGGGGCUGCUGCGGCUUGUAGCUAGGAUGUUGCUGCGGCUGCUGCUGCUGGGGCUUGUAGCUAGGAUGUUGCUGCUGCUGCUGCUGGGGCUUGUAGCUAGGAUCUGGAUGAUGUUGCUGCUGCUGGGGCUUGUAGCUAGGAUGUUGCUGCUGCUGGGGCUUGUAGCUAGGAUGUUGCUGCUGCUGCUGCUGCUGCUGCUGCUGGGGCUUGUAGCUAGGAUGAUGCUGCUGCUGCUGCUGCUGCUGCUGGGGCUUGUAGCUAGGCUGCUGCUGCUGCUGCUGCUGCUGCUGCUGCUGCUGCUUGUGUAGCUAGGCUGCUGCUGCUGCUGCUGGGGCUUGUAGCUGCGCUGCUGCUGCUGCUGGGGCUUGUAGCUAGGCUGCUGCUGCUGCUGCUGCUGCUGCUGCUGG
ensembl:lncRNA